GAACAAUAUGGGUACGAAAGGUGAGUUUUCCGGAAGUGUAAAGCCGGAAAUUAACGAACCUAAUUACGUCUUGGCAAUCGAGCUAUAUGAUUGGUUAAGAUAGCAUCCGGUGAUUACGGAAAUUACCGAUGGGACUAGAAGACAGUAUCCGGAUGGUCGUAUCCGGAUACGACAGACGACGAAGACGAGUAAACGGGUAUUGGAAAAUUGGAAAAAAACGACCACCACCAACUUCUAAAAACAUCGAUUCGUCGAUUUUAAGGGUAUGUUUACCUGUAUGGUUACAAAAGUCAUGGAUGAACAGACACCUCAGCCAGUGCAUCCAGUGGUUCCUGUCAAUGACUGACAAUUGAAUCCAGAGGCCAUGAUACUUGGAUUUAUGACUGAACAUGCUCCCUGGCACCACAGUAGUGUGUCUUACUUAAGACACUUGCCAAAGAUACAAAAGCUCUCAGCGAAUUAAAAUUCAAAGGUGUACAGCAUCAUACAAGAUGACUUACGGAGUGGCUAGCCAUUUUAAUGAUGAACAUGUGGAGGAGUUAAUGGAUCUCGGUUUUGUUUCAACUAAGACAAGUCAACAAACACAAACACUGAGAAAACUGUUGCAGCUAUUUUUCUGGCAUAGAAUAAGAAAUAGUGUUGAGACAUUUGGCCUCCUUAAAAAUCACAAGGGCUGAUUCUGAAUCAAUUUUCAUAGAAUUUGAAAGCCUGUUUGAGAGACUUGAACUGCUGUGGGACAAUCUAAUUUGUGUGCUACUGGACUCAUGUAACACCAUGAGGGGAAAAAAUCUGGCUUGGGGACCAGAAUACGUCAAAGUCCACCAUGUCCACAACGGCUACGCUGCCAAAGCAUUUAAGUCCCGUUUGGAUAUUACUUGUAAUAAUAUAUAUAAUAAUUAAUAACAUUAUAUUCUCAUCAAAUGUGCAGAAAAUGGAAUAAAUACUCUUAUGAUACAUAAAAAUUGAAUAAAUAACACUUUUACAAUAAACAUUUGCAAGCAUGAUAA